UACGAGGGGUGCAAGCGUUGCUCGGAAUUAUUGGGCGUAAAGGGUAGGUAGGUGGUCUCAUUUGUCUAGGGUGAAAUCCUUGAGCUUAACUCAAGAAGUGCCCUAGAAACGGUGAGACUGGAGUACUGGAGAGGGUCGUGGAAUUCCCGGUGUAGCGGUGAAAUGCGUAGAGAUCGGGAGGAACACCAGAGGCGAAGGCGGCGACCUGGACAGUUACUGACACUCAACUACGAAAGCGUGGGGAGCAAACAGG
rnacentral:rRNA from 1 species